GUCUGGAUGGUGUAGUUGGUUAUCACGUCGGUCUCAUAUACUACACGUAUAUAUGAAUUCAAGUUCUAACUUGAAGUUAUCCGAAGGCCGCGAGUUCGAGUCUCGCUCUGGAGU